rnacentral:rRNA from 1 species
GUUAAGCGACUAAGCGUACACGGUGGAUGCCCUGGCAGUCAGAGGCGAUGAAGGACGUGCUAAUCUGCGAUAAGCGUCGGUAAGGUGAUAUGAACCGUUAUAACCGGCGAUUUCCGAAUGGGGAAACCCAGUGUGUUUCGACACACUAUCAUUAACUGAAUCCAUAGGUUAAUGAGGCGAACCGGGGGAACUGAAACAUCUAAGUACCCCGAGGAAAAGAAAUCAACCGAGAUUCCCCCAGUAGCGGCGAGCGAACGGGGAGCAGCCCAGAGCCUGAAUCAGUAUGUGUGUUAGUGGAAGCGUCUGGAAAGGCGCGCGAUACAGGGUGACAGCCCCGUACACAAAAAUGCACAUAUUGUGAGCUCGAUGAGUAGGGCGGGACACGUGGUAUCCUGUCUGAAUAUGGGGGGACCAUCCUCCAAGGCUAAAUACUCCUGACUGACCGAUAGUGAACCAGUACCGUGAGGGAAAGGCGAAAAGAACCCCGGCGAGGGGAGUGAAAAAGAACCUGAAACCGUGUACGUACAAGCAGUGGGAGCACGCUUAGGCGUGUGACUGCGUACCUUUUGUAUAAUGGGUCAGCGACUUAUAUUCUGUAGCAAGGUUAACCGAAUAGGGGAGCCGAAGGGAAACCGAGUCUUAACUGGGCGUUAAGUUGCAGGGUAUAGACCCGAAACCCGGUGAUCUAGCCAUGGGCAGGUUGAAGGUUGGGUAACACUAACUGGAGGACCGAACCGACUAAUGUUGAAAAAUUAGCGGAUGACUUGUGGCUGGGGGUGAAAGGCCAAUCAAACCGGGAGAUAGCUGGUUCUCCCCGAAAGCUAUUUAGGUAGCGCCUCGUGAAUUCAUCUCCGGGGGUAGAGCACUGUUUCGGCAAGGGGGUCAUCCCGACUUACCAACCCGAUGCAAACUGCGAAUACCGGAGAAUGUUAUCACGGGAGACACACGGCGGGUGCUAACGUCCGUCGUGAAGAGGGAAACAACCCAGACCGCCAGCUAAGGUCCCAAAGUCAUGGUUAAGUGGGAAACGAUGUGGGAAGGCCCAGACAGCCAGGAUGUUGGCUUAGAAGCAGCCAUCAUUUAAAGAAAGCGUAAUAGCUCACUGGUCGAGUCGGCCUGCGCGGAAGAUGUAACGGGGCUAAACCAUGCACCGAAGCUGCGGCAGCGACGCUGAUGCGUUGUUGGGUAGGGGAGCGUUCUGUAAGCCUGCGAAGGUGUGCUGUGAGGCAUGCUGGAGGUAUCAGAAGUGCGAAUGCUGACAUAAGUAACGAUAAAGCGGGUGAAAAGCCCGCUCGCCGGAAGACCAAGGGUUCCUGUCCAACGUUAAUCGGGGCAGGGUGAGUCGACCCCUAAGGCGAGGCCGAAAGGCGUAGUCGAUGGGAAACAGGUUAAUAUUCCUGUACUUGGUGUUACUGCGAAGGGGGGACGGAGAAGGCUAUGUUGGCCGGGCGACGGUUGUCCCGGUUUAAGCGUGUAGGCUGGUUUUCCAGGCAAAUCCGGAAAAUCAAGGCUGAGGCGUGAUGACGAGGCACUACGGUGCUGAAGCAACAAAUGCCCUGCUUCCAGGAAAAGCCUCUAAGCAUCAGGUAACAUCAAAUCGUACCCCAAACCGACACAGGUGGUCAGGUAGAGAAUACCAAGGCGCUUGAGAGAACUCGGGUGAAGGAACUAGGCAAAAUGGUGCCGUAACUUCGGGAGAAGGCACGCUGAUAUGUAGGUGAAGUCCCUCGCGGAUGGAGCUGAAAUCAGUCGAAGAUACCAGCUGGCUGCAACUGUUUAUUAAAAACACAGCACUGUGCAAACACGAAAGUGGACGUAUACGGUGUGACGCCUGCCCGGUGCCGGAAGGUUAAUUGAUGGGGUUAGCCGCAAGGCGAAGCUCUUGAUCGAAGCCCCGGUAAACGGCGGCCGUAACUAUAACGGUCCUAAGGUAGCGAAAUUCCUUGUCGGGUAAGUUCCGACCUGCACGAAUGGCGUAAUGAUGGCCAGGCUGUCUCCACCCGAGACUCAGUGAAAUUGAACUCGCUGUGAAGAUGCAGUGUACCCGCGGCAAGACGGAAAGACCCCGUGAACCUUUACUAUAGCUUGACACUGAACAUUGAGCCUUGAUGUGUAGGAUAGGUGGGAGGCUUAGAAGUGUGGACGCCAGUCUGCAUGGAGCCGACCUUGAAAUACCACCCUUUAAUGUUUGAUGUUCUAACGUUGACCCGUAAUCCGGGUUGCGGACAGUGUCUGGUGGGUAGUUUGACUGGGGCGGUCUCCUCCUAAAGAGUAACGGAGGAGCACGAAGGUUGGCUAAUCCUGGUCGGACAUCAGGAGGUUAGUGCAAUGGCAUAAGCCAGCUUGACUGCGAGCGUGACGGCGCGAGCAGGUGCGAAAGCAGGUCAUAGUGAUCCGGUGGUUCUGAAUGGAAGGGCCAUCGCUCAACGGAUAAAAGGUACUCCGGGGAUAACAGGCUGAUACCGCCCAAGAGUUCAUAUCGACGGCGGUGUUUGGCACCUCGAUGUCGGCUCAUCACAUCCUGGGGCUGAAGUAGGUCCCAAGGGUAUGGCUGUUCGCCAUUUAAAGUGGUACGCGAGCUGGGUUUAGAACGUCGUGAGACAGUUCGGUCCCUAUCUGCCGUGGGCGCUGGAGAACUGAGGGGGGCUGCUCCUAGUACGAGAGGACCGGAGUGGACGCAUCACUGGUGUUCGGGUUGUCAUGCCAAUGGCACUGCCCGGUAGCUAAAUGCGGAAGAGAUAAGUGCUGAAAGCAUCUAAGCACGAAACUUGCCCCGAGAUGAGUUCUCCCUGACUCCU